GCCGAGCGGUAGAGAUUCUUCGGAAUCUUGAGAGCGGCGUACGGGUGCGGAACACGUGUGCAACCUGCCUUUAUCAGGGGGAUAGCCUUUCGAAAGGAAGAUUAAUACCCCAUAAUAUAUUGAAUGGCAUCAUUUGAUAUUGAAAACUCCGGUGGAUAGAGAUGGGCACGCGCAAGAUUAGAUAGUUGGUGAGGUAACGGCUCACCAAGUCUACGAUCUUUAGGGGGCCUGAGAGGGUGAUCCCCCACACUGGUACUGAGACACGGACCAGACUCCUACGGGAGGCAGCAGUGAGGAAUAUUGGACAAUGGGUGAGAGCCUGAUCCAGCCAUCCCGCGUGAAGGACGACGGCCCUAUGGGUUGUAAACUUCUUUUGUAUAGGGAUAAACCUAGAUACGUGUAUCUAGCUGAAGGUACUAUACGAAUAAGCACCGGCUAACUCCGUGCCAGCAGCCGCGGUAAUACGGAGGGUGCAAGCGUUAUCCGGAUUUAUUGGGUUUAAAGGGUCCGUAGGCGGAUUUGUAAGUCAGUGGUGAAAUCUCACAGCUUAACUGUGAAACUGCCAUUGAUACUGCAAGUCUUGAGUGUUGUUGAAGUAGCUGGAAUAAAGUAGUGUAGCGGUGAAAUGCAUAGAUAUUACUUAGAACACCAAUUGCGAAGGCAGGUUACUAAGCAACAACUGACGCUGAUGGACGAAAGCGUGGGGAGCGAACAGGAUUAGAUACCCUGGUAGUCCACGCCGUAAACGAUGCUAACUCGUUUUUGGAGCGCAAGCUUCAGAGACUAAGCGAAAGUGAUAAGUUAGCCACCUGGGGAGUACGAACGCAAGUUUGAAACUCAAAGGAAUUGACGGGGGCCCGCACAAGCGGUGGAUUAUGUGGUUUAAUUCGAUGAUACGCGAGGAACCUUACCAAGGCUUAAAUGGGAAAUGACAGGUUUAGAAAUAGACUUUUCUUCGGACAUUUUUCAAGGUGCUGCAUGGUUGUCGUCAGCUCGUGCCGUGAGGUGUUAGGUUAAGUCCUGCAACGAGCGCAACCCCUGUCACUAGUUGCCAUCAUUAAGUUGGGGACUCUAGUGAGACUGCCUACGCAAGUAGAGAGGAAGGUGGGGAUGACGUCAAAUCAUCACGGCCCUUACGCCUUGGGCCACACACGUAAUACAAUGGCCGGUACAGAGGGCAGCUACACUGCGAAGUGAUGCAAAUCUCGAAAGCCGGUCUCAGUUCGGAUUGGAGUCUGCAACUCGACUCUAUGAAGCUGGAAUCGCUAGUAAUCGCGCAUCAGCCAUGGCGCGGUGAAUACGUUCCCGGGCCUUGUACACACCGCCCGUCAAGCCAUGGAAGUCUGGGGUACCUGAAGUCGGUGACCGUAACAGGAGC
rnacentral:rRNA from 1 species